UACGGAAUCCUCUUAAUUCAU
rnacentral:piRNA from 1 species